rnacentral:lncRNA from 1 species
ACGGGAGCCGCUUCUACUUGAGAACGCCACGGUCAGAAUUUGGCGGAGACAAGAUGUUGGAGGGGCCAGAGCAAUCUCCGGGCUUUAACAUGAGGCGAGGAGAAGAAGAUACUGGCAAGGUCCAGAAGGAGGCCUUCGCAUGAGGGCCUUGCUGGGCACCACCCAGUCUGUCAGCAUUCCUGAGAGCUUUGGUUUUAUCUUGUAUAAACAUAAGAAGCUUUAAGGGAGGAGCAUAAAUACAACGAAAUGCAGCUUUGUUUUAAGCGUCAGGACACUGAGGGGGAAGUGACAGACCCCCAUUCAGCCCACUGCCCGAGGCGGCGAAGGCCAGAAACCGCGGAAGCCGGGCCCUCGCUCUGUGACGUCGCCGGGGGUCCCUCCCACCUUCCCUAGCCCCGCCCUUCUUCAGUGCCUGAUAAAAGUCGAGCUCUUCCCACGCCCUGUCAGCUACGGGCGCCUGGAAAACCGGGAGAGCGGAUUCCCCCGCAGCAGCCAGAAGGCCCGGGAACACCUCAUAGCAACAGCCAGCCGGGGCAUCUAGUAGGAAGCUGGGAUUCAUUUCAGCCAACCAGCCCGCGCUUUUGGACCCCGUGGUAUCAUUCUCGACCAAUAGAGAGCCGCUUCAUGCCACGUGACACUGACCCAUCAGCCAAUGGAGGAAAACUCUAGUCGCAGGCUCAGCUAUCCCAUCUGCCACUGUUGGCCAGGCUGGGCGUUUGCCCCUGCGCACACUCUGCCAACCAAUCAUAGGUCCCCAAAAGUUGAGAAGCUCUGGACUGGAGUGCAUCUGAUAGAAGUUGUCACAAAAAAAUAGUGAGUCGGUGCCCAGUUACUCCACUUAGCAUAAUAGAGAGAGGACAGGUUUUUUAAGAUAUUUCUCAGUUUAUUUUCCCUGACCUUUCAUCAGUGCCACCUUUCUUGAUAAGGAGAAGUGUAGAGACUGCAGCUCUUGGAGUAGUGUAGCUCAUUUAUGUUUCUCCUAAUGACAGGCCUCAAUUUUCAUUCUCAGUGCUACCAUAAAGGUAGAUUUUUAAUCAAUAAGACUCAAAAAAAACAUGUUAAGUAGGAGUGUAUUUUCCUACCUAUUCUGUCUUGGUAGUGACCUGAUUUGAGGCUCUAUGUGAAAGAGAAGAAUUAGCUGCUAAAAGAAAGGAUGUUGGGAUGUGCAGAGAAUUUUGAAGAUUUGGGUGGGAAUUGGGUGUGUAUCUCCUGAUCUCUUAAUUGUGUUCAUUGCUAUGCUAGCAUGAACUAUCUAUUCUGAGAGUGAGUUUAGAAAUAAAAUGUCUCCAUUCAUUUGUUUGUGGGAAAGACAAAAUAAAAAUGAGAUAAAAUAAAAUUGAAUUUUCCCCAAGAGCUGUAAAUCUGUAUGAUAGUGAAAGCUUAACAGUGUACACUGACACUUAAGGGUCUCUUUAGCUUCAGAAGUACAUUGCUGGGAGAAAAAAAAAAAAAGAAAAGAGAAAAACUUCAUUUCUCCUCUCCCCUCUGAAUCUGAGAAUUAUCUCACCUAUGCCCAUAUAUCCUCAACUGUCACACUUGUGUUACCAUGGAAACCCAGCUCCUUUCUUUGCUUCAGUGAAAGAUGUUGGAAAAGGUGGGAUGAAGUGGGAAAUACACUGAAUUCUGGGACUUUCUGACAAUAGCAAGAAGCAAGUAUGCAAGGAAUUUAAUGUAAACAAGUUAGUAGAGGGCAUUCGUAAUCUGACCAGUGCUUUUCUUGGCUAUAAGACCCUGAUUCCUUUUGCUUCCUAUAAAAGCCUACAUGUCUCUGAUUAACCAUAAAGGGGAAGGACGAGUGAAAUACAUUUAGCACCUAUGAAAUGCUACUGGUAAUUAUAAAGAGAGCAGAAAACAUUUUCUUGGCCUCUCAGGCUCCUAAUACAGUUGAGAAACAGAAGUAUAUAUGAAGAGUGGAAAGGAAGGGGCAAAAUAAAUGUGUGUCUCUUUUGAAAAUGUGAUAUGUCUCAGUACUUUAGGAAAGAAAAAGAAUUAGAAUGCAGAAAUUGAGUAUGUAAACAAAUCAAUGAAAAAAACCUUUUGAUAGAGAAAAGAAAUUUUUCUUUUUUUAAGAAAUUAAUUUAUUUUUGUCUGCAUUGGGUCUUUGUUGCUGUGUAUGGGCUUUCUCUAGUUGUGGCAAGUGGGGGCUACACUUCAUUCUGGUGCGUGGGCUUCUCGUGGUGGUGGCUUCUCUUGUUGCUGAGCAUGGGCUCUAGGAGCAUGGGCUUCAGUAGUUGUAGCACAUGGGCUCAAUAGUUGUGGCUCAUGGGCUCUAGAGUGCAGGCUCAGUAGUUGUGGCGCACGGGCUUAAUUGCUCUGUGGCAUGUGGGAUCUUCCCGGACCAGGGCUUGAACCCGUGUCCCCUGCAUUGGCAGGUGGAUUCUUAACCACUGUGCCACUAGGGGACUCCCAAGAACAGAAAUUUUUCAAUAGGCAAUUUUCAGCAGAAAAAAAGAAAUCCAUGAAGGAAAGGCUUAAUGAUUAAAAUAUAGGGGAGGAAAAAAAAAAAAGAAAAACCCUGAAGAAUCUU